UGGGGGAUAUUGCACAAUGGGCGAAAGCCUGAUGCAGCGACGCCGCGUGGGGGAUGAAGGCUUUCGGGUUGUAAACCUCUUUCGCUAUCGAACAAGGCCCGCUUAGGGUGGGUUGAGGGUAGGUGGAGAAGAAGCGCCGGCUAACUACGAGCCAGCAGCCGCGGUAAUACGUAGGGCGCGAGCGUUGUCCGGAAUUAUUGGGCGUAAAGGGCUUGUAGGCGGCUUGUUGCGCCUGCUGUGAAAACGCGGGGCUUAACUUCGCGCGUGCAGUGGGUACGGGCAGGCUUGAGUGUGGUAGGGGUGACUGGAAUUCCAGGUGUAGCGGUGGAAUGCGCAGAUAUCUGGAGGAACACCGAUGGCGAAGGCAGGUCACUGGGCCAUUACUGACGCUGAGGAGCGAAAGCAUGGGUAGCGAACAGG
rnacentral:rRNA from 1 species